GAUCUUCAGGGCAGGGUGCAAGUCCCUACCGGUGGUAAAGCCCACGAACCUUUAUGGCCGAUUCGGUGUGAUUCCGAAGCCGACAGUUACAGUCUGGAUGGAAGAAGAU
rnacentral:ncRNA from 1 species